rnacentral:rRNA from 1 species
GCUAGCGGCAGGCUUAAUACAUGCAAGUCGUGGGGCAGCGCAGUGUAGCAAUACAUGGGCGGCGACCGGCAAACGGGUGCGGAACACGUACGCAACCUUCCUUUAAGUGGGGGAUAGCCCAGGGAAACUCGGAUUAAUACCCCUUAACAUUAUGGUGUGGCAUCACAUUAUAAUUAAAGCUACGGCGCUUAAAGAUGGGCGUGCGGCUGAUUAGGUAGUUGGCGGGGUAAAGGCCCACCAAGCCUACGAUCAGUAACUGGUGUGAGAGCACGACCAGUCACACGGGCACUGGGACACGGGCCCGACUCCUACGGGAGGCAGCAGUAAGGAAUAUUGGUCAAUGGACGCAAGUCUGAACCAGCCAUGCCGCGUGGAGGAUGAAGGCCCUCUGGGUUGUAAACUUCUUUUAUUUGGGAAGAAACCCAUCUUUUCUAAGGUGGUUGACGGUACCAGAUGAAUAAGCACCGGCUAACUCCGUGCCAGCAGCCGCGGUAAUACGGA